rnacentral:rRNA from 1 species
UACGUAGGGACCAAGCGUUGUUCGGAUUUACUGGGCGUAAAGGGCGCGUAGGCGGUUUUGUGCGUCAGAAGUGAAAUAUCACGGCUCAACCGGGAGGGUGCUUUUGAUACGGGAAGACUUGAGUACGAGAGAGGAUGAUAGAAUUCCUGGUGUAGCGGUGAAAUGCGUAGAUAUCAGGAGGAAUACCGGUGGCGAAGGCGGUCAUCUGGCU